UAAGAUUUUAAGUUAAUUAAACUAUAUACCUUCAAAGUAUAAAAUAUUUUGUAAUAAAUCUUAG
rnacentral:tRNA from 1 species